GAUAAGAUGCCUGAUAAAAGGAAUAUCUUGAUAGGAUAUAUUAUGUAUUAUUUACUCUUAUUA
rnacentral:tRNA from 1 species